ensembl:lncRNA
AUGCGGGGCCGCCCCAUAGAUGCAGGGCCGUGCCCCAUAGAUGCAGGGCCGUGCCCCAUAGAUGCAGGGCCGUGCCCCAUAGAUGCGGGGCCAUGCCCCAUAGAUGCGGGGCCGUGCCCCAUAGAUGCGGGGCCGCCCCAUAGCGCUGCCCCCCCAGGUGCUGGUGCUGCGGCGCGGCUGGGACACGGCGCUCCAGGCCCUGAACGUCACCAUGAGAACCGGCACCGACACGGCACCGUGACAACACCGGCACCGCCAACAACACCGACACCAACACCGGCACCGGGACCAACAACACCGACACCAACAACACUGACACCAACAACACCGGCACCGGCACCGGGACCAACAACACCGACACCAACACCAACACCACCAACACCGACACCAACACCGGCACCGGCAACACCAACACCAACACCGACACCAACACCGACACCGACACCAACACCGGCACCGGCAACACCAACACCGACACCAACACCGACACCGGCACCAACACCGGCACCAACACCAGCACCGCCAACAACACCACCACCAACACCGGCACCAACACCGGCACCGCCAACACCACCACCACCAACACCGGCACCAACACCGGCACCGCCAACACCACCACCACCAACACCGGCACCAACACCGGCACUGCCAACAACACCAACACCACCAACACUGGCACCGACACCAACACCAACAACACCGACACCGGCACCAUCACCAACACCGGCACCAGCAACACCAAGACUGACGCCGACACUGUCACCAACACCCGUGUCACUGUCACCUGUAUCCCCAUCACUGCCACCUGCGUCGCCGUCACCCGUGUCACCAUCACGGUGUCGCCUGGAUCCCUGUCACGGUGUCACCGUCACCAGUGUCACCUGGAUCCACGUCACUGUCACCCGUCAUCAGUGUCACCUGGAUCCCUGUCACCACCACCCCUGUCACCGUCACUGUGUCACCCGGAUCCCUGUCACCAUCACCCAUGUCACCAUCACGGUGUCACCUGGAUCCUUGUCACCGUCACCAGUGUCACCUGGAUCCCUGUCACCACCACCCAUGUCACCGUCACGGUGUCACCUGGAUCCAUGUCACCAUCAUGGUGUCACCUGGAUCCCUGACACUGUCACCUGUGUCACCAUCACCGUGUCACCGUCAUCAGUGUCACCUGGAUCCAUGUCACUGUCACCGUGUCACCAUCACGGUGUCACCUGGAUCCUUGUCACCGUCACCGUGUCACCUGGAUCCCUGUCACCGCCACCCAUGUCACCGUCACAGUGUCACCUGUGUCCCUGUCACUGUCACCCGUGUCACCAUCACGGUGUCACCUGGAUCCCUGACACUGUCACCUGUGUCACCAUCACCGUGUCACCAUCAUGGUGUCACCUGGAUCCCUGUCACCGUCACCUGUGUCACCAUCAUCGUGUCACCUGGAUCCCUGUCACCAUCACCUGUCACUGCCACCCAUUGUCACCGUCCCCAUGGAAAUAAAGAUCCCCGCUGAUCCGGGGCGCUAUGGGUCGCUGUGUGUUGCUAUGGGGCAAUGAGUGGGGCGCUAUGGGUCGCUGAGUGUUGCUAUGGUGCAAUCAGUGGGGCGCUAUGGGUCGCUGAGUGUUGCUAUGGGGCAAUCAGUGGGGCGCUAUGGGUCGCUGAGUGUUGCUAUGGGGCAAUCAGUGGGGUGCUGUGGUUGCUCUGGGGCAAUGAGUGGGGUGCUAUGGGUCGCUGUGUGUUGCUAUGGGGCAAUCAGUGGGGCGCUAUGGGUCGCUGUGUGUUGCUAUGGGGCAAUCAGAGGGGCGCUAUGGGUCGCAGUGGGGCG